rfam:Felis catus isolate Cinnamon breed Abyssinian chromosome B1, whole genome shotgun sequence.
GCCUGGGUGGCUUAGUCAGUUGAGCGCCUGGCUUCAGCUCAGGUCAUGAUCUCACGGUUCGUGAGUUCAAGCCCCACAUCAGGCU